UUGAACGCUGGCGGCAUGCUUUACACAUGCAAGUCGAACGGCAGCGGGGGCUUCGGCCUGCCGGCGAGUGGCGAACGGGUGAGUAAUGCAUCGGAACGUACCCAGUCGUGGGGGAUAACUACGCGAAAGCGUAGCUAAUACCGCAUACGUCCUGAGGGAGAAAGCGGGGGAUCUUCGGACCUCGCGCGAUUGGAGCGGCCGAUGUCGGAUUAGCUAGUAGGUGAGGUAAAGGCUCACCUAGGCGACGAUCCGUAGCGGGUCUGAGAGGAUGAUCCGCCACACUGGGACUGAGACACGGCCCAGACUCCUACGGGAGGCAGCAGUGGGGAAUUUUGGACAAUGGGCGCAAGCCUGAUCCAGCAAUGCCGCGUGCAGGAAGAAGGUCUUCGGGUUGUAAACUGCUUUUGUACGGAACGAAAAGGUCUGGGUUAAUACCCUGGGCUCAUGACGGUACCGUAGGAAUAAGCACCGGCUAACUACGU
rnacentral:rRNA from 1 species